AAUGGGCGGAAGCCUGAUCCAGCCAUCCCGCGUGUUUGAUGAAGGCCCUCUGGGUCGUAAAGAACUUUAGACUGGGAAGAAACCACUUGAUGAGUCAGGUGUUGACGGUACCAGUAGAAUAAGCACCGGCUAACUCCGUGCCAGCAGCCGCGGUAAUACGGAGGGUGCAAGCGUUAUCCGGAAUCACUGGGUUUAAAGGGUGCGUAGGCGGCUGAGUCAGUCAGGGGUGAAAGCCCGCAGCUUAACUGCGGAACUGCCUUUGAUACUGCUUAGCUUGAAAGAGGUUGAGGUCAGCGGAACGUGACAUGUAGCGGUGAAAUGCAUAGAUAUGUCACAGAACACCAAUUGCGAAGGCAGCUGGCUGGGCCUACUUUGACGCUGAGGCACGAAAGCGUGGGGAGCGAA
rnacentral:rRNA from 1 species